GAGAGAUAGAGAGAGUUUUAGACUCUGAGAAAUAGUGAGAUAGAGAGAGCGAGACAGAGAGCUACGGAGUGAGGGUGAUAUAACGAUCUAGGGAUAGAAAGAAAGAGAGAGCUUCAGAGAGUUGCACGCAGAAAGAGAGAGAAAGUGGAUGGAGGUUUCGUUAUGUGCCAUAUUUGAUGUGAAAUUCCGGAUUUUGUGUUCUGGAUUUGAUGUGGGGACGAUUGAGGUGCAGAGAGGUCUUCCGGUGCUUGCCGAGACAGAUUGAGGGAUACAGAACAUGGGGACACGAAGAGGAAGAAGGAUUCAAUUCGUGGUUGUUGGGUGCACUAGCAGCAAAUGGAGAAGCUUCUGGUAAUGAUGUUCUAUCAGGUCAAAAGAACCUGCUCACGCAAGAAGUUUCCUACCUUCAUAUUCCAUGGAUCUGUAGAUGAGCCCACUUCAGUUGAAGAUGCAUUUGAGUCUGCCAAUGAAUUAGAUCAGUGCUAAACCCCCAUUGUAGAAACUUGAUACCACCUUGGUUAAAAUACCAGAUCACGAUUUGAGGG